UACGUAGGGUGCGAGCGUUAAUCGGAAUUACUGGGCGUAAAGCGUGCGCAGGCGGUUCGUUAAGUCAGAUGUGAAAGCCCCGGGCUCAACCUGGGAACUGCAUUUGAAACUGGCGGGCUUGAGUGUGGCAGAGGGGGGUGGAAUUCCGCGUGUAGCAGUGAAGUGCGUAGAGAUGCGGAGGAACACCGAUGGCGAAGGCAGCCCCCUGGGCCAACACUGACGCUCAGGCACGAAAGCGUGGGGAGCAAACAGG
rnacentral:rRNA from 1 species